rnacentral:rRNA from 1 species
UAGCCUGUUUAUCAAAAACAUUUCUUUUAGUUCGUAUGGAAAGUAAAGCCUGCCCACUGAAUUUUUGAAGGGCCGCAGUAUUUUGACUGUGCUAAGGUAGCGUAAUCAUUAGUCUCUUAAUUAGAGAAUUGUAUGAAUGGUUUAACUUACAAAAAUUUUAUUUUUUGUUAAAAAUUAAAUUUAAUUUAAAGGUAAAGUGCUUUCGAAUAUUAAAUAGACGAUAAGACCCUAUAGAGCUUAACGUUAAAAAUAUAAUUUGUUUUUGGGGGAAAAUUGAAUUAUAUUUUUAAUGGUUUGUUGGGGCAAUAAAAGAAUAAAAAAAACUUCUUAUUUUAACUUAAAUUUUAAAACUUAAAAAGUUACCUUAGGGAUAACAGCGUAAUAAAUUCUAAGAGUUCUAAUCGACGUAUUUGUUUGUGACCUCGAUGUUGAAUUAAAAUUUCUUAGUGGGGCAGUUCUAAAGAGGAUGUCUCUCGCCUUUUG